rnacentral:rRNA from 1 species
AUGAGGAAAGCUUGCUUUCCUUGAUGACGACUGGCGCACGGGUGAGUAACGCGUAUCCAACCUUCCCAUAACUACGGGAUAACCCGUUGAAAGACGGCCUAAUACCGUAUGAUAUCGUUUGCUGACAUCAAAUAACGAUUAAAGGUUUAGCGGUUAUGGAUGGGGAUGCGUCUGAUUAGCUUGUUGGCGGGGUAACGGCCCACCAAGGCWACGAUCAGUAGGGGUUCUGAGAGGAAGGUCCCCCACAUUGGAACUGAGACACGGUCCAAACUCCUACGGGAGGCAGCAGUGAGGAAUAUUGGUCAAUGGGCGAGAGCCUGAACCAGCCAAGUAGCGUGCAGGACGACGGCCCUAUGGGUUGUAAACUGCUUUUAUGUGGGGAUAAAGUGCGUGACGUGUCAUGCAUUGCAGGUACCRCAUGAAUAAGGACCGGCUAAUUCCGUGCCAGCAGCCGCGGUAAUACGGAAGGUCCGGGYGUUAUCCGGAUUUAUUGGGUUUAAAGGGAGCGUAGGCUGYCUAUUAAGCGUGUUGUGAAAUUUACCGGCUCAACCGGUGGCUUGCAGCGCGAACUGGUCGACUUGAGUAUGCAGGAAGUAGGCGGAAUUCAUGGUGUAGCGGUGAAAUGCUUAGAUAUCAUGACGAACUCCGAUUGCGCAGGCAGCUUACUGUAGCAUAACUGACGCUGAUGCUCGAAAGUGCGGGUAUCAAACAGGAUUAGAUACCCUGGUAGUCCGCACGGUAAACGAUG